GCUGUGACGUUCCCUACGCGGUCGGGCGUUGGGUUUCGCGGCGCUCGCCGCACUGGUUGUUCAGCACCUUCGGUCCGGUUGAGGUUGUCAAGUCGGACCAAACAGGUUGUUUCUCUGCAGUUUCCAAGACAGGGUCUCACUAUGUUGCCCAGGCUGGUCUUGAACUCCUGGCUUCAAGCAGUCCUCCCACCUUGGCCUCCCAAAGUGCUGGGAUUACAGACAUGGCAGGGAGGUUUAAUAGACAUGGAUAAGAAGUCCACUCACAGAAAUCCUGAAGAUGCCAGGGCUGGCAAAUAUGAAGGUAAACACAAACGAAAGAAAAGAAGAAAGCAAAACCAAAACCAGCACCGAUCCCGACAUAGAUCAGUGACGUCUUUUUCUUCAGAUGAUCCUAUGUUUCCUUCUUCCUCAUCAUCGUCUUCAGGAAGCCAGACAGAUUCAAGUAUUGAAGAUGCUGCCAAGGGAAAAAUUAAGAAGAAGAGAAGAGAGAAAACAAAUAAAUGGGAAAAAAGAAAGAGUCUUGUCCUGUUGCUCAGGCUGGAGUGCAAUGAUGCGACCUCGGCUCACUGCAACCUCUGCCUCCCGGAUUCAAGCAAUUCUCCUGCCACAGCCUCCUAAGUAGCUAGGACUACACGCAUGCACCACCACACCUGGCUAAUUUUUGUAUUUUUAGUAGGGACGGGGUUUCACCUGGUUGGCCAGGCUGGUCUCGAACUCCUGACCUCAUGUGAUCCGUCCACUUCAGCGUCCCAAAGUGCUGGGAUUACAGGCAUGAGCCACCGUGCCCUGCCUCUUUUAGUUAUUUUUAAAUGUACAAUAAAUUGUUGUUGACUGUAAUCACCCUGUUGUGCUAUAAAAUACGAAAUCUUAUACAUUCUAGCUAUAUUUUUAUACUCAUUAAUCAUCCUCCUUUCCCCACCUUCAACUACCCUUCUAAGCCUCUGGUAACGAUCGUUCUGGUAUCACCAUGAGUUUAUUUGUUUUCAUUUUUAGCUCCCACAAAUAGGUGACAACAUGUGAAUUUUGUCUUUCUGUGCCUGGCUUUUGUCACUUAACAAUGACCUCCAUUUCCAUCCCUUGUUGCAAGUGACAGCAUCUCAUUUUUUUUUUUUUUUUGGCUGAAUAGUGCUCCGUUGUGUAUUUGUACCACAUUCAUCUGUUGAUGGACGUUUAGAUUGCUUCCAGAUCUUGGCUAUUGUUGCUGAAUUCUUUUUCUCAGCAUGGAACGUCCCUGAGAAAGAGAAUGCACGCCUAGGGGUAGGUCUCUGAACUGGCCCCCCCGGGGCGUACCUGUCUCUUAUGGUUGAGACUGCAGGGACGAAAUAAACUCCAGUCUCCCAUAGCGCUCCCAGGCUUAUUAGGAAGAGGAAAUUCCCACCUAAUAAAUUUUGGUCACACCGGUUGAUCUCAAAACCCUGUCUCCUGAUAAGAUGUUAUCAAUGACAGUGGUGCCCAAAACUUCAUUAGCAAUUUUAAUUUCGCCUCGGUCCUGUGGUCCUGUGAUCUCGCCCUGCCUCCACUUGCCUUGUGAUAUUCUAUUACCCUGUUAAGUACUUGAUGUCUGUCACCCACACCUAUUCGUAUACUCCCUCCCCUUUUGAAACUCCCUAAUAAAAACUUGCUGGU
ensembl:lncRNA LINC00467 long intergenic non-protein coding RNA 467